GACGAACGCUGGCGGCGUGCUUAACACAUGCAAGUCGAACGGUAAGGCUCCAGCUUGCUGGGGUACACGAGUGGCGAACGGGUGAGUAACACGUGGGCGACCUGCCCUGCACUUCGGGAUAAGCCUGGGAAACUGGGUCUAAUACCGGAUAGGACCGCACCGUGAGGGUGUGGUGGAAAGUUUUUUCGGUGUGGGAUGGGCCCGCGGCCUAUCAGCUUGUUGGUGGGGUAAUGGCCCACCAAGGCGGCGACGGGUAGCCGGCCUGAGAGGGUGGACGGCCACAUUGGGACUGAGACACGGCCCAGACUCCUACGGGAGGCAGCAGUGGGGAAUAUUGCACAAUGGGCGGAAGCCUGAUGCAGCGACGCCGCGUGGGGGAUGACGGCCUUCGGGUUGUAAACUCCUUUCACCAUCGACGAAGGGUUUCUGACGGUAGAUGGAGAAGAAGCACCGGCUAACUACGUGCCAGCAGCCGCGGUAAUACGUAGGGUGCGAGCGUUGUCCGGAAUUACUGGGCGUAAAGAGCUCGUAGGUGGUUUGUCGCGUCGUCUGUGAAAUUCCGGGGCUUAACUCCGGGCGUGCAGGCGAUACGGGCAUAACUUGAGUACUGUAGGGGAGACUGGAAUUCCUGGUGUAGCGGUGAAAUGCGCAGAUAUCAGGAGGAACACCGGUGGCGAAGGCGGGUCUCUGGGCAGUAACUGACGCUGAGGAGCGAAAGCAUGGGGAGCGAACAGGAUUAGAUACCCUGGUAGUCCAUGCCGUAAACGGUGGGCGCUAGGUGUGGGUUUCCUUCCACGGGAUCCGUGCCGUAGCUAACGCAUUAAGCGCCCCGCCUGGGGAGUACGGCCGCAAGGCUAAAACUCAAAGGAAUUGACGGGGGCCCGCACAAGCGGCGGAGCAUGUGGAUUAAUUCGAUGCAACGCGAAGAACCUUACCUGGGCUUGACACAUACAGGAUCGCGCCAGAGAUGGUGUUUCCCUUGUGGCUUGUAUACAGGUGGUGCAUGGUUGUCGUCAGCUCGUGUCGUGAGAUGUUGGGUUAAGUCCCGCAACGAGCGCAACCCUUGUCUUAUGUUGCCAGCACGUUGUGGUGGGGACUCGUAAGAAACUGCCGGGGUUAACUCGGAGGAAGGUGGGGAUGACGUCAAAUCAUCAUGCCCCUUAUGUCCAGGGCUUCACACAUGCUACAAUGGUCGGUACAGUGGGUUGCCAGUCCGUGAGGGCGAGCUAAUCCCGCAAAGCCGGUCUCAGUUCGGAUCGGGGUCUGCAACUCGACCCCGUGAAGUUGGAGUCGCUAGUAAUCGCAGAUCAGCAACGCUGCGGUGAAUACGUUCCCGGGCCU
rnacentral:rRNA from 1 species